rnacentral:piRNA from 1 species
UGGAUUCUGCCCCUUGACUGAAGCUGC